AGACAACUCUAUGCGGUGGAUCACUCGGCUCGUGGGUCGAUGAAGAACGA
rnacentral:rRNA from 1 species